rnacentral:rRNA from 1 species
UAGCGGUGAAAUGCGUAGAUAUUAGGAGGAACACCAGUGGCGAAGGCGACUUUCUGGACAGUAACUGACGUUGAGGCACGAAAGUGUGGGGAGCAAACAGGAUUAGAUACCCUGGUAGUCCACGCAGUAAACGAUGAUGACUAACCGUCGGCGAUACACUGCCGGUGGCCAAGCGAAAGCGAUAAGUCAUCCACCUGGGGAGUACGUUCGCAAGAAUGAAACUCAAAGGAAUUGACGGGGGCCCGCACAAGCGGUGGAGUAUGUGGUUUAAUUCGAAGCAACGCGAAGAACCUUACCAGGGCUUGACAUCCCACGGACAGAUGUAGAGAUACAUCCUUCCCUUCGGGGACUGUGGUGACAGGUGGUGCAUGGUUGUCGUCAGCUCGUGUCGUGAGAUGUUGGGUUAAGUCCCGCAACGAGCGCAACCCUUAUUGUUAGUUGCUACGCAAGAGCACUCUAGCGAGACUGCCGUUGACAAAACGGAGGAAGGUGGGGACGACGUCAAAUCAUCAUGCCCCUUAUGUCCUGGGCUACACACGUACUACAAUGGCGGUUAACAGAGGGAGGCAAUACCGCGAGGUGGAGCAAACCCCUAAAAGCCGUCCCAGUUCGGAUUGCAGGCUGCAACCCGCCUGUAUGAAGUUGGAAUCGCUAGUAAUCGCGGAUCAGCAUGCCGCGGUGAAUACGUUCCCGGGCCUUGUACACACCGCCCGUCACACCAUGAGAGUCAGUAACGCCCGAAGUCAGUGACCCAACCGUAAGGAGGGAGCUGCCGAAGGCAGGACCGAUAACUGGGGUGAAGUCGUAACAAGGUAACC